AGUGGCGUAGCACAUGUCGUUCUCGUUCUCUCUUUCCUGCCUCAUUCGUUCUCGAGAGAAUCAUUGAGCGUCAGAUGCAAAGCUGAACGAUGAGCAAAACCGUCAUGCGAAUUUAUAUGACACGGCGCUGAAAGUGUUGAAUUUCACCAUUAGUUAUUGAUCGCUUUCUUCUUCUCAGGCGCAAGAGUAAAGCCUUUAAACUCCAUAGAUACCCAAAACAACACCCAUACUUCUAAAGCCACCUACCCGGGUGAUUUGCAGUGCAACUAUUGUUAGCAGGUGUUUGUGCGGUUAUCCGGUCUUGUCGGGGCUAGGUCCUUUGGUGAAGCUGUCAUCUCGAAUAACUUAACAACAUGUCCGGCAUUGGUUCAGGCCCCGUAUAGACGUGGCAGGUUGCAUCUAUUGACCAAUCGAGUAUAGUAAUGUGCUCUCUGGCGCACUCCCAUAACUCUUAUCUCACCCCAGCUAUUGUUAGUUCGAUUCCAGCUCCGGCAAAAUGGGAACUACGGAGUACUGAUAAGUAAAGUUGGCAAAAAUUCGUAGUUGACUCCGAUCCGACUCUGAAAAUUACGGAAUCAAGGUCCGCUCAGCAUUAUUUGGAAUCGUUCAGCAUUGUCCGGAGUCGUCCGGAGUCGAAGUGCACGCUCAAAGGGAAAGACAAUAAGACACCAAGAAAUUAAAUGCCUGAUCACAAGCACAUUGCAUUGGACGGCUCUUGUUGACUCCUACUGACUUCGAUUCCAGUCCACUACGGGCGACUCCAGACCACUUCGGGCGACUCCAGACGACUUCGGACGAUUUCAACUCCGAACGACUCUGUCGAGGGGAACUCCGGACGACUCCGAAUGACUCCUAACAUCUUCGGGAGACUUCAGGCGACUGCGAACAAUUCCUAACGACUCCGGAUGACUCUGACUCUGGGUGAACCUAGUGGUCCCAUUUUGCCGUAGUCGGAAUCGGACUAACAAUUGCCGGAGAUGGAUCGGAGUAAUUGGUGCGCUCCAAAGAGCAUAUCACUACUCCGGACGACUCCUGACAAAUCCGGAAGGCUCCGGCCUUCCCGAGAUCCAAUUGAACCAACCUUUGCCGGAUCGUUCAGAAUUCCAGGAUUCAUUUUCGGCCACCUACACGAGAACCGUGCCUGUACCAGUGCCCGCUCCAUGUCCAGCUCAUUUUCCUGUACCUGUACAUGUACAUCCAGACGCUAUGGCCCAUGCGGCGGAUGAUCCGGCACCUGUCCCUACGCUUCCCAUCACACCACAACUCUCAUGGAUAGGGUGAUUUUCUGCUUCGAUUUUAACUACCGCAUCUGGCGGCGGCUGGUGGAAGCUUUUUUUGGUCAUCGAGGGAAUGGUCGUGCCGGAUCUCAAAUUUAAGUAAUUUUUUCAGCGUUUUGUUAUGCCAAAAUGGCUGAAAUACUUGUUUGUAUUUCU